GCAGACUCACUCUGUCCCUGGCUGCUGAAUCCAGCCUGGUGCUUUUUCUGUCUGCUACAGGGACUGCAGAGUGGAACUUCCACUAGCCUGGUCGUAGGCCAGUGUUUUCAUACUCUGCUACAUUAUA